UCUGGGUUUUUGCCAGAGCACCCCUCCUCCUCUUCCCGGCAACUUCUUUUCAACAGCCCCUCUGAUGGACCCCAACUCUCCUCUCUCACGCCUCGCCUAUCCAGCGGGGCACAAAGAAAUCUCAGUCACUCCAUAAACUUUGUGCUUCCAGUUAUGCCGCCCCCUCCCCUAGCCUCCACCCCGCCCUUCCAGCUAUUUGGCAGGAAGGUUAGGCCACUGGCAAAAUCCUCUGCGAGAUCCAGCUGAUCACAAAUGCCAGCUGUAUGUCUUGGGGCCAGUUAAGUCCUCUCCUCUGCCCAGGCUCUCAGGAGACCAUUUCAUUGCUCUCAAGGUUCCAAGGAGACCGCUGCGGACGCGGACCAUCCCCCCACUUGGCCAGCACGGAUGGGAUGCUGAACAGCGUCCUAAAAGUGCUCUUUCUCACCUCGAGUUUUCAUUUUAGAUUGUAAAAAUUCCGAAUUUGGAGAGAGGCAGAUAUUUUUCUCCCAUCAGAAAGGAGGACCAUUAACUAGUUCUUCUGCCACAGGGAAGCAACCAGCGACUAAUAAAAGAUUUGAUCUUGCCAUAAUUUCCCAAGCAGGACUUCCCUGGUGGCACAGUGGUUAAGAAUCAGCCUGCCAAUGCAAG